rnacentral:rRNA from 1 species
AGUGAACGCUGGCGGUAGGCCUAACACAUGCAAGUCGAACGGCAGCACAGUAAGAGCUUGCUCUUACGGGUGGCGAGUGGCGGACGGGUGAGGAAUACAUCGGAAUCUAUUUUUUCGUGGGGGAUAACGUAGGGAAACUUACGCUAAUACCGCAUACGACCUACGGGUGAAAGCAGGGGAUCUUCGGACCUUGCGCGAUUGAAUGAGCCGAUGUCGGAUUAGCUAGUUGGCGGGGUAAAGGCCCACCAAGGCGACGAUCCGUAGCUGGUCUGAGAGGAUGAUCAGCCACACUGGAACGGAGACACGGUCCAGACUCCUACGGGAGGCAGCAGUGGGGAAUAUUGGACAAUGGGCGCAAGCCUGAUCCAGCCAUACCGCGUGGGUGAAGAAGGCCUUCGGGUUGUAAAGCCCUUUUGUUGGGAAAGAAAAGCAGCAGGUUAAUACCCCGCUGUUCUGACGGUACCCAAAGAAUAAGCACCGGCUAACUUCGUG